rnacentral:rRNA from 1 species
AUUGAACGCUGGCGGCAGGCCUAACACAUGCAAGUCGAGCGAGCGGCGGACGGGUGAAGAAUGGAUGGGGACAGCCCGCUAGAGGGGGGUGACUACUGGAAACGGUGGCUAAUACCGCAUAGUACCCGAUAACCCAUAUGGGAUUAGCUAGUAGGAGGGGGAAUGGCCCACCUAGGCGACGAUCCCUAGCUGGUCUGAGAGGAUGAUCAGCCACACUGGGACUGAGACACGGCCCAGACUCCUACGGAGGCAGCAGUGGGGAAUAUUGCACAAUGGGCGCAAGCCUGAUGCAGCCAUGCCGCGUGUAUGAAGAAGGCCCUAGGGUUGUAAAGUACUUUCAGUCGGGAGGCGUUACCGACAGAAGAAGCACCGGCUAACUCCGUGCCAGCAGCCGCGGUAAUUC